AACAAACGCUGGCGGCGUGCAUAACACAUGCAAGUCUAACGGGAAAGUCGGCUUCGGCUGGCAAGUACCGUGGCGAACGGGUGAGUAACACGUGGGUAAUCUAACCUCGAGUUUGGGAUAACCUUGCGAAAGCGGGGCUAAUACCGAAUAAGACCACGCUCAGCUCGAUGAGUGCGGUAAAAGGCGGCCUCUGCUUGAACGCUGUCACUUGAGGAUGAGCCCGCGGCCUAUUAGCUAGUUGGUGGGGUAAUGGCCUACCCAGGCGACGAUGGGUAGCCGGCCUGAGAGGGUGUACGGCCACACUGGCACUGAGACACGGGCCAGACUCCUACGGGAGGCAGCAGUGGGGAAUUUUGCGCAAUGGGGAAAACCCUGACGCAGCAACGCCGCGUGAGUGAUGAAGGCCUUCGGGUCGUAAAGCUCUUUUAGUGGGGAAGAAUCCCUAUCGGGCUAAUACCUCGGGAGGAUGACGGUACCCACAGAAAAAGUUCCGGCUAACUACGUGCCAGCCGCCGCGGUAAGAC
rnacentral:rRNA from 1 species